UUACCAUAGUGGCUGGUGUGAUUGACCCUGAUUACCAAGGAGAAAUAGAAUUGAUGUUGCAUAAUGGAAGUAAAAUUAAGAGUAUGUCUGGAAUACAAGAAAUCCUUUAGGGUGUCUCUUAGUACUACCAUUCCCUGUUAUUAAAAUCAAUGGAAAACUACAGCCACCCAAUUCCAACAUGACUACUAAUGGCCCAGACUUUUCAAGAAUGAAGGUUUGCAUCACCCCAUCAGGCAAAGAACCAUGAGCAGCUGAGGUGCUUGCUGAAGGUAAAGGGAAUAUGGAAUGAGUGAUGGAAGACGGUAGUUCUAAAUACAAGUUACGACCAUGGGACCAGUUGCAGAAAUGAGGACUGGAAUUGUUAUGAGUAUUUCUUCCUUAUAUGUGUGAUCAAAUGUUUUUGUUUCCUUCACUUAUAAAAUAUAAGAUGCAAAUGUGGCUAGUACAUUUUCAGUUGUAUGUGUGCUAGCUAUAUCAUGUUAGGUGAAAGUAUGACUUUGUUAUUGUCUUUAUUUAGAGGUUGUUUAUAGUUUAAGGAGAUGUAUACACAUGCCAAGUUGACAAAGGGUGAACUGUGAUGGUUAAGGUUGUGUGUCAACUUGGUUGAGCCAUGAUUCUCAGUGGUUUUGCAGUCACGUAAUGAUGUAGUCAUCCUCCAUGAUGUGAUCUUAUGUGAUCAGCCAAUCUGUUGUAAGGGAAGUUUCCUCAGGGGUGUGACUUGCAUCUAAUAUAUAUGUGGACAUUCUGGCAUAGUUUGCUUUCUUGCUCUGAAUCCUGUAUCCAGCUUGUCAUCAUCUGACCUCUGGUCCUUGGGACUUGAGCCUGCCAUCUACUGUAUUGCCUGCCAGCCUUGGAAUUUGUCAGUCUCCAUAGCCUGUGAGCCAAAAGGCUUUCUGUCUUACCUGGUGAUCCUGGGAUUCAUGGGCCUUCCUGCCUGUGAGCCAGCAGACUGGUAUCUUACCUUCUGACCUUGGAUUCAUCAGUCUCUGUAGCCCAUGAGCCAGUUCCCUAUUGUCUGACCAACUGAUCUUGGGUUCAUUAACCCCUGAAGCUAUGUGAGUCGGAAGAAGCAUCCAGCCUGAUGCCAAAUCUGCAGACUUGGAACAUGUCAGCCUCUACAACUGUAUGAGCCAUUUCCUUGUGAUAAAACUUUCUCUGUCUCUCUGUAUAUACUGUGCUGUGGUGGAUUGCUUUUAUGUGGAUCACUUGACUUGGUCUUGUAACUCCCACUAAAUGAUUGGUGGGAGUAUUGCAAAUAAGGUGUUUGUGGCCCACCAAUGGGAUUGGUAAUGAUAAUGUAAAUAAGUACAUGGAACACUGAAUGGGUGGGACCACACAAAUGAUGUAUAUGGAACCCUACCACGGGGAAUGGUUACUUUUGUCAUCCUGCUAGGGUUAAAAGGGAGCCAAUUCUAGAGCAAAGGGAGGAUCUCACUACCACCAAGAAAAAAAGCCAGGAGUGGAGCGUGUCUUUUGGACCUGGGAUCCAUGUACAAAGAAGCUCUUGGAACCAGGAGACAAGAGAGAGCUAUAACACCGAAGAUAACGAGAAGCAGCCACAAAUGGCAGCGGCAGAAGCAAGAGAAUAGCAAGAAAUGGUGUGGUGGGCUUCCCAGACCAUAGAACGAGAAAACUGAGUGCCUUUGGGCAGGUAGCUUGCUGGCAGAGCAGGGUGCCUCUGGCACUUGAUGGAGCUAGGUUUGCCAACCUAAGGGGCUAGAGCUGAGUGCCUUCUGGCUGAGGCUUAUUGGUCGAGAGAGGGGUGACUCUGGGCACUUAUUGGCAGAGCUAAAAGAGGUUUCUAAUACUUGCCCAAGUGUUGGCUGAGAGGCUGAGGGGCCAGAGACAGUCAUGCCUGGGAGCACAGCUGAGAAGAGGCUCUUCUAAUUGAAGAACUGUGUUGUGAGCAUUCCUGAACCUGAACUGUAACCUGAUACUUCCCUAAUAAACCCCAUAAUCCUGAGUAUUGCCUAUGAGCUCUGUGUGGCCAUUACAAUGAAUUAUCAGACUCAGUAGAGAACCAGAGAGUGCUGUGGACGGAUGGUUAGUGUCAGAAUUGGUAAAAUGCUUGGAAAGUGAAGGCAUGUCUGACCUCUGCCUCAUAGGAAUCAGCCUUGGGCUGUUGAUCUUGAUUCUUUUUCCUCCUUGUGAAGUUAGAAGAGGUCAGAUGCCGCUUCCAUGCCAUAUUUAUGCUUGGUGUCAGGAGUGGAGAUCAUUGCAAUGGCUCUAGGGUUGUGGAAGCAUGAGACUUAGAAAGAAUGAAGGGGCUUGGGAAGUGAAACUUUUAAUUCUUAGAUGGUUACUUUGAAUGUUGUUAUGAGUAAUGGCUGAAAAGAAAGUAAGGGAUAUUAUGCUGCAGCUGAGGGGAGAAAAGCCACAUCUGGAAUAACUUGGGGCAAAAGUUACCCAGCCAGAGGCUCAAAACUGUAUGCAUAUGAAUGGGAAGGUGAUCAACGUAUGGAGAAGAGAAGAUGAAACUGGAAUGUUUUAAAAAGGGUUAUGUGUUUAUUUGAAUGUACUGUGGAUAUUGAAUGCUUCUCCUAUUUAGUGUUGUAUGAUAGAAAUGAAUAGUGGGUAUUACAGAUUACAGAGAGUGUGUAACUCAGCCUUCAGACAAUAUGUGAUUAGAUAUGCUAAAAGGGGAACUAGGAUUUGCCCAGAAAGAAACACAGGCUGUUUAUUUCAACGCAAUAGACCCGGGGUAGGUGAACUAGUAAGCAAAGUAUGUAUGGGUUUACAGUAAGCAAAGGUAUGCAUAGGCUUAAUUGUGUUCACUAAGUAAUCUGUAGUUAGUAUUUUGAAUGUGUUUCACUACAGAUUAGUAAAUAAACACAAGCAAGUCCAUGUGUGUGUUGCUUAUUGGGUAAUCCCUCUCCAAGUAGCCCUGUGUAUGCAGAAGCUCCAGUCAGAACCUUCAGAGUGAUAAAAUUUGCAUAUGAAAAAAGACCUGCAGACCCACCCAGAACUGCUGAGAAAACAGGAGAUUUGCAUUUGAAGUAAGUACCUGCAGAGAAAACAAUGACUGUUUUGCUUUUUUGAAUUUUGAGCAAGGAAGCUUUUUGCCUUUGGGUACAUUGAGGUAGGAAAAGUCAGUGCCCAUCAGAAGAACCCCCUUCUUGGACUGGAAGUUAAAGGGAGCCAACAAGUAGGCAGUCUGGUAUCUUCGCUUGUGAUGACCACCUGGGACUACUCAAUGAGUGGAAGUGGGUUGUUUUGGUGUAGACACUCCUGUGAUGGUGUCACCCAGUGCAGUCUGCACUCCCUGCACCCUCCUACUGAUGCCACUGAAGAUGGACAUGGCCAUUCUGGAGAGCAAUUCAAAAGUAUUUAGCAAUGGAAUCAAAUCGACUACAUUUGUGGAAAGAGGCAAUGGAAAAGCUCAAUAUCAUCAGUCAGAAAAAGGCAAGAGACUGACUGUGGAACAGACCAUCAAUUGCUCAUAUG